ensembl:lncRNA
UUGAAGUAUUUAUCUACAGGCAGUUCUGGUCAGUUGUCAGCACCCAGUGAAGAGUUCGGGAGAGGGGUGCCCCUGCAGUGUAAGGAGGGUAAGGAGGUUUUGGGGCGAGCCUGGUUUGGUGCCUGCGCCCUCUCAGGCGCUGGUUUCCGUGUGUGGCGUCGCCGUGCGUGGCGCACCCCCGCCACCCGGCCGGUCGGGUCCCAGAGAAGCACACGUUUGAUUUUAUUUAAUUUUACUUUCACAGAGCGCCUCAGCAAUGAAAGCGCGGGCUUGCAGCCGCCCCGGGGGCCAGGGAGCACCUCAGCACCCGCUCGGCCGGGCCCGGCUCCCCGCCGGCACCUGAGGGCAGGGGCCGGGCGGCACGGGCGGGGCCGGCCCUCACAUGCGCGGCGCCGCGGGGGCCAUUGGCCGCUGCCGGGCGGCGGGCGGUGCUCCGGGACGCGGGACCGGCCCCCGCCGGCUGCCGGUGCCGUCCGUGCCGCCGAGCCAUGCGGGUGCGCGCCGCAUGCGGAGAGCGCGCUGCAGGGCGCCGCUAGGAGCCGAGCCCCGCCCGGCCCGGCCCGGCCCGGCUCGGCCCGGCCGCUCCCCUCGCCGCAUGGCAGCGCCGCGGGAGUGAGCGACCGCGGAGAAGGAAGGUCUUCUCGUUCCUUCGUGCAGUGCAUCGAGGUCCCGUUCGAAGCCAGUGGCUGUCAAUGGAUUUUGAAUCAGGUCCUGUGUUGCUGGCUGAGGCUUUUUGCCCUGCAUGCUGCCAGUUCCUCCUGCUGCUCGCUGACGGCUUCCCUGGGACCUCCGGAGGCAGAGUGCUGACUCGGUGCCUCGGCUUCCUCCUGCACCUCUGAUAGCAGAGGGCUUGGCAGGGAAACUGACUAAUGCGUGGAAACUGGCUGAUCACGAAGGGUUAAUUAGUGUCCUGAGGCUUAAACCUUUUUAUCAGUGGGGCUGGUGAUGGCUGUUUUGCUGAAAAGUAGCUUGAGUCACAAAUGGUGUCACGGGGGAAGCCAGUAAGCUAUUUUCUCAACUAGAGGCAGACAGAAAGGAGUUCCACGUAGUUAGCACUGCUUUUGCCAAGCAGUGAACUUGAAAGGUUUUUCUUUUCUGUUCAAAAGAACAAUCUGUAUCUUCCAGUGAAUUCAUAAAAAUACCGUGGAUUCCUAAAUAUUCAUAAAACAUAACUAGCAGUAUUUACCUGAUGUUCAAAUGUUACUAUAUAAUGUAGAAAGAAUAAAGCACGUUAAGCUUCUGCUGUUUAAAUUUCUCCUUUUUUUUGUCAGCAUCAGAACUAGACUGCACUAGUUCUCCUUUUUUUUUUUUUUUUUUUUUGUCUCUUGGCUGUGGAGAGAUUAUAACCUAGCAAAAAAAAAAAAUAAUGCUAUUGAUAUAUUAAGAAAAAUGGAAAUAGUUUUCCCCAGAAUCUUUGCAUUUAGAUAAAGACUUGUCUGUGCUUUUGCAUAACUGACAUCUUAAACGUUUUUUUUCUAACAAGCAGUGAAAAGUCUGUGGACUUCACCAUGCAAAGACUUGUGCAUAUGACUAAUUGUCUGCACGUGUAUGGUCUCAUGAGCAUGCAUGCAUGCAAAAGGCUCUCUGGGGCCACAGCAGUGGUGCUUGAUUUUGCAAGUAUUUAUUCCUGGCUGUGAUGUUCAGCUGCUGUGGGCCUGUACCUGUAAGUAUUUGCCAGAAAAGGGCUGAAAUACAGAGAAGGAUGUUUGUGAAAUACAGUUUUCUAGCAGCUUCCAGCAUUAUAUUCCUAAAAGCCAACGGUAGGUAUUGUUUUAAAGCAGUUCCACACCUCGUACCUCGAGAACACUUUGAGCCACGUUUUUUCCAAGUUUGACUUGUCUGCAUUGGGGACGGGUUUGGCUCACGAUCUUUUGGUCUAAGCAAAUUGAGUGCAAUUUUCUUUUAACCAUAUAACAAAGAAUAGGUACUGAUUGCUUGCCAAAUAAUUUUUCCCCUCAGAGAUUACAAACAAAUUUAGGAAAGAACAAAGCCAGGAUUUCUAGUGUUUGACUUGUUGAGAAUCAUCUUGGGGUUUGGCACGUUAAAAAGCAAAGUGCGUCACGAGUCAAGUUGGUGCUUUCUAAUACCAUCAGUAAUACUAAUUUCCACAUCAUUAAUUUUAACUGACACUGCUUCAAUCUUUCUCUCGACACAACUUUCUUUAAUUAAAAGAAUCAAGAUUCUUUUCAGUUAUUUUUGUAUUCUUUUCAACUGUGCUCUUCCAGUCUUGAAACAGUAGGUUGCUGGCCCCCUUCAGGAAGCAGAUAGGGAAGACAACUCAAAUGCCCUCAUGUAGCAGCUCCCCAAGUGGUGAGGGAAACAUCCUUGCAAGGAGGAAGCUUGUUUGCUUGGACUCAGCCAGCAGAAGGCUUCUUUUGCUCACACUUGGAGGAAAGCAGUGGUACGGGAAGAGGGCACGGCUGCACCAAGGACCUGUUUUUUGGCACUUCUCUAAAAGAAGUACCUCCCCUUUUCUUCCUCCUUUUCGUGUACAAUCUAGGCUGUGAAAACCUGUUGUUCAUGUAGUCUCAGAACUGUUGCUACCUACAGUUUUCCUUCUUUCUACUCGAGCCACUUUCCUCAGAAGUGGUUUGCUGUAAGGCUGGAAUAGUUGUGAUGCUCAGGAUUUCAGAAACAAUCACGUUACAGCGACCUUAGGGAAGGAGAAAAGUUAUCUGUUGCUCAGAUAUUUUUCUUUUCUGAGACCUCUUUUUUGGUGAAGGUAGCUCUGAUGAAGAAGCAGAAAAAAUAACCAGGCUGAGAGCAUACGGCAUCUAGCAGUGAGUGAGGAUAGCAGUCACCUUUAUUCCCCAUGGUCCUGCAUUUUGUGUUGUGUGAUCGGCAGAGGAAAUGGUCCGGUUUUUGUGACCUGUCUUGCUCCUUCAUAGUGUUAAGAACGAACACUUUCCCUAUGUGGUCUCUGUUAAAAGUUGUGCAUCUUGGCUGUUCUGCCUUACAGAGGUCUCCCUUGAAGGCCAGGAAGCUGCAGUGGAAGAUUUCCCAGACCCAGGGGGCAGGCAUAACAGCUAAUGAAGUGUUACUUCUUUCUGUUAUUGUCAUGUAUCUCUUAAAACUGAUUGCCUAGUAUUUAAAUUUGAAAAAGCUGCGUGCUUCUCAAACCAGGGUUCUAAACAGCCUUAAUAUAAAUCCCUCUCUCCUCACUUGCUCAGGAUUUUUCUGCCUGGGUUGUGUGUCCUGGUUUUCCUGUGUUGAGGUUAAGGUUGGGGGCUGCCUGAAUGCUGUGUUACAUGUCUUACCUACAACUCCCAUUGAGCUGGCAAGUAUGAGGAGACCUGCAGCAGACUGUGUCCCCGAGCAUCUGCUGGAUCCCUCCCCUAUUCUAUUCAGUGGAGAUAGACACAGAAAGGAAAAAGCACAAAUGUGGAAGCUCUUCGUAGCCUUUCCAACGAAGCAGCAGGGCAGGCUCCUACCCACCCCCAUGCAACCAAAUGGCUGCAAAGCCCCAGCCAAGAUGCCUUUUUUUUUUUUUUUCCCUUGGACUUCAUUCUUAACAAGUUAGCACUGAGAUAAGUUUCUCUAUAAAAGAUGUUCUUGAUUGCCCUUGGGUUCUGCAGAAGACAGGACUGGCACACCUUUGGUGUUUUCAAGCCUGGCUGAUGCCACAGAUACCAACAUGCCUGCUGAAAGCAGUGUGGGUUUUUUUUUUUUUGGGUGGGCUUCAUUUGACAAACUUCAUUCUUGCUGCAGUGAUUUUUCCCAUCUUCCGAUUAUAGUUGUAAGGAGAAAACA